rnacentral:tRNA from 1 species
UGUAAAGCAGUAUUUGACGUACAGUAGAUUUUGAUUCUAUGGGAAUAAGAAGAACACUUAUCUUUACAU